UGAAGUUUGACAACUACCGCCCUUCUCCACGUCCCACCGCCCCAGUCGUAACGCCCUGGUUUGAAGCAUCUUCACUGGGGAUGUGUUGUAUUGGUUUUCAGUUAGUUUCACUUACGGAAAUUUAAAUAUCUCAGUAAACCUCAUUGUAUGCAUUUAUCAUCACUUCUCGAAAUCUGUAAAUAAUUGUAAUCAAAUGUACAAACGUUUUGCCUCUUUGCGGUCUCUAUACAGUGGUGAAUUUAUGCUUGAAUUUUAGAAAACAAGCAGCGUGGCAAAAUACACGUUAAAAAGAAAAACUGUAUUCCUGUAGUAUUCUAGAGAACGG
rnacentral:lncRNA from 1 species